rnacentral:lncRNA from 1 species
UUCACCAGGAGAGACAAUCAAUCAGCUGUUUCACCAGGAGAGACAACCAAUCAGCUGUUCCACCAGGAGAAUCCACCAAUCAGCUGUUCCACCAGGAGAGACCACCAAUCAGCUGUUUCACCAGGAGAAACCACCAAUCAGCUGUUACACCAGGUGAGACCACCAAUCAGCUGUUUCACCAGUGGAGACCACCAAUCAGCUGUUUCACCAGGAGAGACAAUCAAUCAGCUGUUUCACCAGGAGAGACCACCAAUCAGCUGUUUCACCAGUGGAGACCACCAAUCAGCUGAUUCACCAGGAGAGACCACCAAUCAGCUGUUUCACCAGGAGAAACAAUCAAUCAGCUGUUUCACCAGGAGAAACAAUCAAUCAGCUGAUUCACCAGGAGAAACAAUCAAUCAGCUGAUUCACCAGGAGAGACAAUCAAUCAGCUGUUUCACCAGUGGAGACCACCAAUCAGCUGUUUCACCAGGAGAGACAACCAAUCAGCUGUUUCACCAGGAGAGACAACAAAUCAGCUGUUUCACCAGGAGAGACCACCAAUCAGCUGAUUCACCAGGAGAGACAAUCAAUCAGCUGUUUCACCAGGAGAGACAACCAAUCAGCUGUUCCACCAGGAGAAUCCAUCAAAUUAGCUGUUCCACCAGGAGAAUCCACCAAUCAGCUGUUUCACCAGGAGAGACCACCAAUCAGCUGUUUCACCAGGAGAGACAACCAAUCAGCUGUUUCACCUGGAGAAACCACCAAUCAGCUGUUUCACCAGGAGAGACAAUCAAUCAGCUGUUUCACCAGGAGAGACCACCAAUCAGCUGUUUCACCAGUGGAGACCACCAAUCAGCUGAUUCACCAGGAGAGACCACCAAUCAGAUGUUUCACCAGGAGAGACCACCAAUCAGCUGUUUCACCAGGAGAGAUAAUCAAUCAGCUGUUUCACCAGGAGAGACCACCAAUCAGCUGUUUCACCUGGAGAAACCACCAAUCAGCAGUUUCACCAGGAGAGACAAUCAAUCAGCUGUUUCACCUGGAGAAAAAAGUUAUGUGCUGUAUCAAUAA